AGAGUUUGAUCAUGGCUCAGAUUGAACGCUGGCGGCAUGCCUUACACAUGCAAGUCGAACGGCAGCGCGGGAGCAAUCCUGGCGGCGAGUGGCGAACGGGUGAGUAAUACAUCGGAACGUGCCCAAUCGUGGGGGAUAACGCAGCGAAAGCUGUGCUAAUACCGCAUACGAUCUACGGAUGAAAGCAGGGGACCCGCAAGGGCCUUGCGCGAAUGGAGCGGCCGAUGGCAGAUUAGGUAGUUGGUGAGGUAAAGGCUCACCAAACCAACGAUCUGUAGCUGGUCUGAGAGGACGACCAGCCACACUGGGACUGAGACACGGCCCAGACUCCUACGGGAGGCAGCAGUGGGGAAUUUUGGACAAUGGGCGCAAGCCUGAUCCAGCCAUGCCGCGUGCAGGAUGAAGGCCUUCGGGUUGUAAACUGCUUUUGUACGGAACGAAAAGUCUCUUUCUAAUAAAGAGGGACCAUGACGGUACCGUAAGAAUAAGCACCGGCUAACUACGUGCCAGCAGCCGCGGUAAUACGUAGGGUGCAAGUGUUAAUCGGAAUUACUGGGCGUAAAGCGUGCGCAGGCGGUUAUAUAAGACAGUUGUGAAAUCCCCGGGCUCAACCUGGGAACUGCAUCUGUGACUGUAUAGCUAGAGUACGGUAGAGGGGGAUGGAAUUCCGCGUGUAGCAGUGAAAUGCGUAGAUAUGCGGAGGAACACCGAUGGCGAAGGCAAUCCCCUGGACCUGUACUGACGCUCAUGCACGAAAGCGUGGGGAGCAAACAGGAUUAGAUACCCUAGUAGUCC
rnacentral:rRNA from 1 species